rnacentral:misc_RNA from 1 species
AUGAACGGAAGCAUCCAUACACACAAUCGCAGAGGUACGUCGCACAUCAGCCAUUCGCCUUUUUCUUCGUUGUCUGCGUGUGCGACUUCUUCGCUAUAUGUGCUUGUUUGUGGCGUUUGUACAGCCCCAAGUCGUCGGAGACGGACAUCUCACAUGCCCACACGUUGUCGGACUGCGCACGUUCAUCUUCUACAAGGCGGAACGCCACGUACUGCACAAUGACAUCUCGAGCACGCCUUCUAUUGCUGGCGUGUGUUGGGACAGUCAUCGUGAUUCUCCUAGUGCGUGCACAGACCGUCGUUGCGCAAGGCGACGAAGCCAACGCUGCCUUCGCGCAGCAAGAAGCGCCUGAGUCCGAGAAGGACCAGCACCUGCUGCGCCUGGUGGUCAUCCUCCUUCCAGCCAUGUUCGUGUUGUGGUUCAUCCUGUGCAUCAUCUUAGCGUACAUCUACAUUUGUGUGUACCCCAACUAUUACACCAAGUAGGAGGCCUCGAAGGGCCGAGCUACGAGUCUGUGAUGACGGCGUGGCAUCCCAGCCUUUUGUUUUCUUGUUGCGGUGAGCUUUCUGUCGAACUCACGACUGGUGUCACUCCCUUUAUUCGGAGACCCCUCCCCCAUGAGGAGGAAGGCGCUUUCCGUAUCUGUAUAUGCAUAUAUAUAUAUAUGUGUGUGUGCAUGUAUAUUACUCUGAUGGAGGCCGACCGGCCUUGUGCUUUUUUUUUUUGGGGGGGGUACCACUUUGUUUUCUACCAUGUGCACAGCUUUACCAUUCCUCUCUUGUUCUGUAAUCGAUAUAUGACCCCCCCCCUCUUUGUGCCUCACUCCCUGCCUACAUAUAUAUGUAUAUAUGUAUGUAUAUAUAUACAUAUAUGCGUGUGUGCGCGCGCGUUGCUUCUCUGAAGCCCUCAACCUUUCUACUCAAGCGAAAGGGACGAACGGUUGAGGCCUCCAAAGUGUGACUGGGGCGUCCCCAACGUGAGCGUCCCAACUGGGCGUGUCGAAUAUUCGCUCACGAAGAAUGGAUCGAGGGCAGGCCAUCGCCGCAUCCUUGUCCUCCUUCCCCUCACCAUCCACCGCUCACUGCACCUUUUCUCCGGUAUGGAAAUCAUACUUUGGCCGCUUGCCUCCCGCCGCCAAUUGCGCGGCGCACGUGUGUUUGGGUACGUGUUGUGCACCUCGGGCAUUUGCCAAGCCACACGCACGCAGUCAGCUCCCUUGGCCCUUCUCCUCUUUUCUACCAUCUUUACCUGGGUGACCGUCCUCGGGUUCAACCUCCCCCUCGUCUUGCUUUGCUUUUCCUUCCGACUGACAUGCACGCAUAUAUAUAUAUUUGCAUAUACAUGCGAUGGUGCAGGCGUGCCAUGGACAGUGAAAUGCCGACGACGAAGGCCCGCCAUCUCUCUCCCCCUCGCGUCCUCCUCCCCUUCCCAAGCCAGCAAGCGAGUGCGUCGGUCCGUGCGAAUAUAUGUAAUGCUUCUUUGGUUUCCUUUACUUCUUCCUCUUAUUUAUUUGUGCACGGUUUGCUCCGAGCACAACGGUGCGGCGAGAUCGGAGGACAACGGCGUUUUCUUGUCGUCGUCUAGUGGCAGCGAGACCUCUGCUCUACCCGACAACGUCACUGCAGGCCUCCGCCCUCUUUGAGAGAGGGCCCCAGUGACCUUACACGGACCAUUCUCUCUCGUUGUUUCCACGGUCCUUGCCUUCAGCGCAAGUCUCCUCGCCCAUCCGACCUCGUUCAUGUCCGCACCCGGUGAAACGGGUGGCCCCGCACGCACGCCGGCACACACAAGCGCAGGCGUAUGCGCGGGUGUACGCUCUUGUAUGGAAGACGCACUCUGUUCCCGCCGGUACGGCCUCGGUGUAAGCAGCACGAUGGCACACACACCGCCCAG